CGAAUGGGUCCAAAGACUCUUAAAACCUACCGUGCUCCCCUACGUGGACAUCAGGAAAGCCCUCCGAGGCAUAAGAAAUCUGAGAAGUUGAGAACUGCGCCCCGGCGCAUGACUAAGACAAAAAAUUA
rnacentral:misc_RNA from 1 species